UACGUAGGUGGCAAGCGUUGUCCGGAUUUAUUGGGCGUAAAGGGCGUGUAGGCGGUCUGUUAAGUGCAGGGUGAAAGCUCCCGGCUCAACUGGGAGAGGUCCUUGCAUACUGGCGGACUUGAGGGGGGUAGAGGAAAGUGGAAUUCCCGGUGUAGUGGUGAUAUGCGUAGAUAUCGGGAGGAACACCUGUGGCGAAUGCGGCUUUCUGGGCCCUACCUGACGCUGAGACGCGAAAGCGUGGGGAGCGAACCGG
rnacentral:rRNA from 1 species